CAAAGGUUAAUUCCGGUGGCGGAUGGGCAUGCGUCGCAUUAGUUAGUUGGCGGUGUAACGGACCACCAAGACGACGAUGCGUAGGGGUUCUGAGAGGAAGGUCCCCCACACUGGUACUGAGACACGGACCAGACUCCUACGGGAGGCAGCAGUGAGGAAUAUUGGUCAAUGGGCGGGAGCCUGAACCAGCCAAGUCGCGUGAGGGAUGACGGCCCUAUGGGUUGUAAACCUCUUUUGCCGGGGAGCAAAGUGCCGCACGUGUGCGGUUUGGAGAGUACCCGGAGAAAAAGCAUCGGCUAACUCCGUGCCAGCAGCCGCGGUAAUACGGAGGAUGCGAGCGUUAUCCGGAUUUAUUGGGUUUAAAGGGUGCGUAGGCGGACGCUUAAGUCAGCGGUAAAAUUGCGGGGCUCAACCUCGUCGAGCCGUUGAAACUGGGUGCCUUGAGUGGGCGAGAAGUACGCGGAAUGCGUGGUGUAGCGGUGAAAUGCAUAGAUAUCACGCAGAACUCCGAUUGCGAAGGCAGCGUACCGGCGCCCAACUGACGCUGAAGCACGAAGGCGUGGGUAUCGAACAGGAUUAGAUACCCUGGUAGUCCACGCAGUAAACGAUGAAUGCUAGUUGUCCGGGGCGAUUGA
rnacentral:rRNA from 1 species